rnacentral:lncRNA from 1 species
GAUAAUCACCAUAUCGGAGCCACCAUGGGGGUGAGCUUGACUCCCUUCCCUGACACACUUUUAACUGGACACCAACAGUAAGGACCUAGGCAAAGGCUAAUUGAUAGAUAGAAGUGUAUCACAGCAUACAUUUAGAAAGUGUAUCUUCAAAACAGCAGACCAGGCAAAGCUUUUGUGCUUAGAGUACUAUUGACAGUUUUGGCUGCCUGUCUUGAAUCUAGAACCUUGAGCCAAAAUCAAAGGAAACCAUACUGUUGAUAGCAAGAAGAUUACCACAAGAUAUUUUUGAAGUGUUUUCCCAGGUUAGAUGUUUAAAGAGUGGAGACAUAUAUUUGGUCCUUGAAAUUUGUUAUAAAACCUUUCUCAUGCCAUGUCUUAAGAAUUAUAAUGGACACUUGAUGAUUGCCAAGAGGGGGAGCAAAAACAGCGAACAGCAGAGCUGGUUGGUCUGAACUCAGUGCAGCUUUCAGUGAGAACAAAAGCUGUCCAGCAAAGAGUCACAUCAUUCAUUCUCUAGCCUCUCCAUUCAAAGGGCAGAGCUUUUUUUUUUUUUUAAGAAAACUCAACCUCUUAAGGCAUUAGGAAUUUAGCUGAGACCAGCAGAAUUGAAAACUCUGGCAAUAAAAUAUAGGCUCAACCAUAACCCUUCUGGCAAGUUCCUUCUCAGAGAAGGAAGUGGGAGUAAAAUGUGGCCUUCCCCACUUCUCUUACAUCACCACUGUCACAAUGUCCCCGCUGGCCCGGCCAGUUCCUAGAGGGAAGGGUGGACUGGUUUUAGUACUCUGGAGAAAAAAAAAACCAAGCUGCAGUAUUUGAGGUGCAGUAUGAUAUUUCCUAAUCUUUCCUAUUUCUUAACAAAAAAGAUUUUAAAGCACUUCUCUAGUCAUUGAACUUUUGUUCUUUACAUACUAUUGAUAUAUUCUUUUUCUACUCAAAGUGCCAAAGGCUACAGUUUUUAAACGACUUAACAAAUUGUACCACACUGUUAAGGAACUAUAACGAUAGACACUAGAAUUCAGACCUCUGCAUGUAUAUUUGAUAACACAUCUUUUGUAAAAAAUAAAUAAUUACAAAAAAUUUGUUUACAUUCCACUGGUACCUUAAUUUAAAAGAAAUCAGACUAACAGGUGGUAUCUCUUCUUAGUGUUCUAUUUAUCUUACUUGCUAACGAGAGCAAUUCUUCUUUUGUUAGGCUGUGCUUUAUUGAUGAAACCGAGUAUUGAAUAAAGAGAGUUAAUUAUCUUUUUAAAGUAAAUAAAACUAUGAAUAUAUAAUAUAUAUGAAGUAUCGUGUUUAAUAAAAAUGUUAUGCAAUGUUUUCCAAACUGAUAAAGUUUGUAAAGUGCUAUAAAUGUAUUUUGUUAAGUACAGAUCAAAGCUAUCGUGUGAGUAUAUUGUGCUGGCAUCAUAGAAAUAAAGAUUAGAUUUCUUCAUC